rnacentral:lncRNA from 1 species
UAUUGCUAUAUAUGGAAACUUAAAUUUAUUUCAAAGUACCUCUGUUGCAAUAUAUGGAAAAUUAAUUUUACUUCAUAGUAGACGGCUGUGACGAAAAGACAGUUGUUCAUAAAAAAUAACACAAACAAUUAAAACAACUAGAAUACAAAAACUUUGCGAUUACAACCAUCAAAACAAUUUUGAACAUGUACUGCAUCAUCCUACGAGCGUCUUGGUCGGUCUUAAUAUCCACCCAUUCACGCACUUCUCCGUUUUGGCUGAACGUGGACACAAGCCAUUGUAUUCUUCUAAUCCGUUCACCCUCUCCAAUUUCUCCCUCUAACCAACUAUACAACGUCCGAUUAAGACGUUCAAACGUAUCUGUGUUCCAAAGUCGAACCU